rnacentral:rRNA from 1 species
AUUGAACGCUGGCGGCAGGCCUAACACAUGCAAGUCGAGCGAGCGGCGGACGGGUGAGUAAUGUCUGGGAAACUGCCUGAUGGCGGGGGAUAACUACUGGAAACGGUAGCUAAUACCGCAUACCAUCAGAUGUGCCCAGAUGGGAUUAGCUAGUAGGUGGGGUAACGGCCCACCUAGGCGACGAUCCCUAGCUGGUCUGAGAGGAUGACCAGCCACACUGGGACUGAGACACGGCCCAGACGCCUACGGGAGGCAGCAGUGGGGAAUAUUGCACAAUGGGCGCAAGCCUGAUGGAGCAAUGCCGCGUGAGUGAAGAAGGCCUUCGGGUGGUAAAGCACUGUCAGCGGGGAGGCGUUACCUGAAGAAGAAGCACCGGCUAACUACGUGCCAGCAGCCGCGGUAAUAC